AUUGAACGCUGGCGGCAGGCCUAACACAUGCAAGUCGAACGGUAGCACAGAGAGCUUGCUCUCGGGUGACGAGUGGCGGACGGGUGAGUAAUGUCUGGGAAACUGCCCGAUGGAGGGGGAUAACUACUGGAGACGGUAGCUAAUACCGCAUAACGUCGCAAGACCAAAGUGGGGGACCUUCGGGCCUCACACCAUCGGAUGUGCCCAGAUGGGAUUAGCUAGUAGGUGGGGUAAUGGCUCACCUAGGCGACGAUCCCUAGCUGGUCUGAGAGGAUGACCAGCCACACUGGGACUGAGACACGGUCCAGACUCCUACGGGAGGCAGCAGUGGGGAAUAUUGCACAAUGGGCGCAAGCCUGAUGCAGCCAUGCCGCGUGUAUGAAGAAGGCCUUCGGGUUGUAAAGUACUUUCAGCGGGGAGGAAGGCGGUGAAGUUAAUAACUUCACCGAUUGACGUUACCCGCAGAAGAAGCACCGGCUAACUCCGUGCCAGCCGCCGCCGUAA
rnacentral:rRNA from 1 species